UCCAGACUCCUACGGGAGGCAGCAGUGAGGAAUAUUGGUCAAUGGCCGAGAGGCUGAACCAGCCAAGUCGCGUGAGGGAUGACGGCCCUACGGGUUGUAAACCUCUUUUGUCGGGGAGCAAAGAGAGUCACGUGUGGCUCAUUGGGAGUACCCGAAGAAAAAGCAUCGGCUAACUUCGUGCCAGCAGCCGCGGUAAUACGUAGGGGGCGAGCGUUAUCCGGAAUUACUGGGUGUAAAGGGAGCGUAGACGGCGAGGUAAGCCUGAAGUGGAAGCCCGCGGCCCAACCGCGGAACUGCUUUGGGAACUGUUUUGCUGGAGUAUGGGAGGGGUAAGCGGAAUUCCUGGUGUAGCGGUGAAAUGCGUAGAUAUCAGGAGGAACACCGGUGGCGAAGGCGGCUUACUGGACCAUAACUGACGUUGAGGCUCGAAAGCGUGGGGAGCGAACAGGAUUAGAUACCCGCGUACA
rnacentral:rRNA from 1 species